rfam:Gongylonema pulchrum genome assembly, scaffold: GPTH_scaffold0002900
AAAUUUUAGCUGCAUCGCUAGUAGUUCUCAUCUGGAUGUACAGCUGUUUCCGAGUUUCUCAAUAUAGCUUUCCGUUGAGAGAUGUAACUAUCCAAAUGAUUCGUUCACCAAAAGUCCCCUUGAACGAAGCUACAGUCCAUAGAAUGUGCUAGGCUUGUACGGGUGGUGAAACGUUUGGUUUGGUUGCACUUUGGAGUCGGGUUGCCUGAGAUCGCAGUCCAAAGUGGGUGGUAAACCUCAUUUAAGGCUAAAUACGGCCACGAAACCGAUAGCAAACAAGUACUGUGGGGGGAAGUUGCAAAGGAUUUUGAAGAGAGAG